AACUUAAGCAUAUCAAUAAGCGGAGGAAAAGAAACCAACAGGGAUUGCCUCAGUAACUGCGAGUGAAGCGGCAAGAGCUCAAAUUUGAAAUCUGGCGUCUCUUGGGCGUCCGAGUUGUAAUUUGGAGAGGCAACUUCGGAGAAGGAGCCGUCCUAAGUUCCUUGGAACAGGACGUCACAGAGGGUGAGAAUCCCGUGCUCGGGCGGCCAUCCAUCUCCAUGUGAAGUGUCUUCGACGAGUCGAGUUGUUUGGGAAUGCAGCUCAAAAUGGGUGGUAAAUUUCAUCUAAAGCUAAAUAUUGGCGAGAGACCGAUAGCGCACAAGUAGAGUGAUCGAAAGAUGAAAAGCACUUUGAAAAGAGAGUUAAAAAGUACGUGAAAUUGUUGAAAGGGAAGCGCUCGAGACCAGACUCGACUUUCACCGAUCAACCGUGCUUCUGCGCGGUGCACUCGGGGUUUGUCGGGCCAGCAUCGGUUCCGGCGGUGGGAUAAAAGGCGAUGGAAUGUGGCUCCCUUCGGGGAGUGUUAUAGCCAUCGUCACAAUGCCACCAGCUGGGACCGAGGAACGCGCUUCGGCGAGGAUGCUGGCGUAAUGGUCUUUAGCGACCCGUCUUGAAACACGGACCAAGGAGUCUAACAUCUAUGCGAGUGUUCGGGUGUAAAACCCCUGCGCGAAAUGAAAGUGAACGGAGGUGGGAACCCGCAAGGGUGCACCAUCGACCGAUCCUGAUGUCUUCGGAAGGAUUUGAGUAGGAGCAUAGCUGUUGGGACCCGAAAGAUGGUGAACUAUGCCUGAAUAGGGUGAAGCCAGAGGAAACUCUGGUGGAGGCUCGCAGCGGUUCUGACGUGCAAAUCGAUCGUCAAAUUUGGGUAUAGGGGCGAAAGACUAAUCGA
rnacentral:rRNA from 1 species